AGAAGUAGGAAACAAUGAAGUUGAUAGUGCUGAUUGUUGGAUGCUUUGCGGCAAGCGAGGCUUUAGUAUGUACUCCAGAACUAUGUGGAAUGAUCAAAGCUGCCCCUUUACAAUGCAAGGGGUCCAUCAUCAAAGGAGGGGGCUUUUGUGGGUGUACAGACGCUUGUGCCAAGCAAGUGGGCGAGUCCUGUGACUUACCUUCCGGUCCCCAUUUCUUUGGAAUGCUCCCCUCCGGUCCUUGUGACGAUGGUCUGGAAUGUAUCAGUCCAGUGACAGAAAACCACUCCGUGAUGAGGCUCGGGAAAGGCGUCUGUAGUAAACCUAGACAAACCAGAAAAACCCGCAGUCAGUCCUACACGCCCUGCCAGAUAAUGUACCGACAACGAUCUAUUAGUAUGGUUGUAUGGCAAGGCUGGUGGCUCCCAAAAUGUGACGCUGAAGGCAACUUUGAGGGAGAGCAAUGCGACAAUACAGGCAAGCAAAGCGUGUCUUUAGCAGAAUACUGUUAAUUUAAAAGUAAGAGAACAACGAAUCCCCCACGGGUCAAUUUUAUGUAUUCCUCUUGUUUACAGGACAUUGUUUCUGUGUUACCUCUCACAAUGGCGAAGUAAUUCAAAGCAGCAAAGUUCUAGGCUCUGCCGACUGCUCCUCUCACUCACCAGCUAGACGAUAUCUGACUCAGUGUCAACAGAUGUACCAAUUACGCAUGAUAUCUUUCGUCAUAUACCAGGGAAUGUGGACACCGAAAUGCGAUACCGAGGGCAAGUUUGAACCAGUUCAGUGUGACAAUACAGGCAAGUUCCCACUCAAUGAAUCGAGUGUAAAUUAAUUUCAUCUGAUCAAACGAUAAAAAUAUUUUAAAAAAAACCCAGUUGCGGUAGGGUUUAGGUAUGUUAUAGUAGUAAAGUUAACGCAUUUCAGGAGGCUCACUACACCGUGAAAUAUUUUCUCAAAUCAGAAGAAAUUUACUUGAUUAUGAUAGAUAUCUUAAUGGAUAAGAAGUACUUAAGUCUAAUAUGCAAAAAUAUGCAAUUUUGGAUGAAAAAUUACAUUUUCAAAAAUUUAAUUAAGUUAACAUGAACAAAAGUUCCAGGUGGAUUCGAACUCAUGACCUGCAGUUCAGAAGCCCAAUACUUUAACCACUGAGCUACGACGAUAUACAACUCAAUAGAACAAUGUAAACAGUUUAACAAAACAUUUAAUCGCCAUCUUGUGACGUAGUGUCUUAAAAAGUAUAAGUGUACAUGUAGUUGUAGUGAGGUACCUUAAUCAGUAAUCACCUCCACCAGAGAAAAAAAAAACCCACCGCCAAUAGGGAAACACAAACGCCCCUUACCGAUGUUGAAACCUGUAUAAUUAUGUUCAACCAAAUUUUACAUACGUGGAAUUAACCGAACACAGGAACCAUAAAAUCAAUCGCAACAUCUCGGGCUUUUCCGGCAGGCUCGGAAAAACACCGCGAAUGUAUUAACAUUACCGGAUGUUAGAAUUAGUCGCUUCUGUUACAUUUUAGGGUAUAUCAUUUACUUUAAUCAAGUCUAGCUUACAUCUCAGCAGAUCGUAAAAUGUGUUGUAUUUAAUAUAUCAAGUUUUAUAAAAAGGGGGGUUGUCAUGAACGCCUAGGUAAUACAUUCGAGGUGUUUUUCCGAGCCUGCUGGAAAGAUCCGAGAAGUUGCGAUUGCCAUAAAAUCAUACACCAAUUAAAUGAUAGACAAGUUGUACGAAGACAUUUUAUUUCGAUAACUACACGUCAAAGGAACUGAUAGCACAAUGGCCCACAUUAUUUAAAAAUUAGUUUCAUCUCUUUGUUGGUGUAUUUAUUACCAUAGAUUACAAUAUCACACACAUAAAAUAUUGAAAUAUAUUGCGAGAAAUAUCAAUAUUUAAUAUUAUAGAACAGGACAAAAUGCAAAAGAAAGACAAACUCAUUAUCUAGAUGUCGGUAAAUCUGGAUCCCAGACCUUGAAUUAUCUAAUCCAGUGGAGUGUCACUAUCCAAAUAUCGUUAUAAUGAACCAUGAUGUUAAUCACUUAUGCUUUAUGAUGCUUUAACAGAUCACUGCUUCUGUGUAACGGAAAUUACCGGAACAGUCGUGAAGGGAUCUAAGGUUCCACACACGAGACCCGACUGUUCCCAGUAUGACCUGACAGAAGAGGACAUAACACCUACACCUUCAUUCUAAUUAAAAGAAGAUUGGCAUAGAUGAAGACAAACUAAUAAAUGAAUAUUUAUACAUGU
rnacentral:misc_RNA from 1 species